rnacentral:rRNA from 1 species
UACGUAGGUGACCAGCGUUGUCCGGAUUUACUGGGCGUAAAGAGCGCGCAGGCGGUCGUUCAAGUCGAGUGUGAAAGCCCCCGGCUCAACUGGGGAGGGUCACUCGAUACUGAUCGACUGGAAGGCAGGAGAGGGAAGCGGAAUUCCCGGUGUAGUGGUGAAAUGCGUAGAUAUCGGGAGGAACACCAGUGGCGAAGGCGGCAUCCUGGACCGGCAUUGACGCUGAGGCGCGAAAGCCAGGGGAGCAAACGGG